UACAAAAACACGAUAAAUAAUGAAGUUAAAUAGAAUAAAGCUAUUUCCUGAUGAUGAUGAUGAUUAUAUUGAAUAUUAUUCAGGAAACAUUAAUAUUCGGGAACUUACACUAAGCCUCUGUAUGCUCAGUGAGUGAGUGAGUUGCCUCUUUAAACAUAAUUUAAAUAAUAUUGUGGCAUAUACGCUUGAUGUGGGAGGAAGGUUUUAGUGAAACCCGCGAGAAUGAGUAUAGUGCUAACACAACAAGAAAUAGAAUAAGGGCUAAUCUUGGAUUCGGACGCACGAUGACAAAUUGUAGGCACGCAUAAGAGUCGCAACUUUGCGCGAACUCGUGUAACUUUCAAAAGUAAUAAAGGAAGUGAUAAUUUAAUGUGUACACUGUGUGAAUCAAUUUUGUAUUUUAUCGAAAAGCUUUGCGACAUAAGGGAAAUUACAUCACACAGCACCAAAGUUCGACGAUCAUAGGCAGCAUGUGGAAGCUACUACAAAAUAUCGCAAAGGAGGAUGAGCAUGGUCUAUAUCUGGGGACAAACGACUUAUUUCGUCCUGAC